UGCAAGUCGAACGAUGAAGCCCUUCGGGGUGGAUUAGUGGCGAACGGGUGAGUAACACGUGGGCAAUCUGCCCUGCACUCUGGGACAAGCCCUGGAAACGGGGUCUAAUACCGGAUGACACUUUCUCUCGCAUGGGAGAAGGUUGAAAGCUCCGGCGGUGCAGGAUGAGCCCGCGGCCUAUCAGCUAGUUGGUGAGGUAGAAGCUCACCAAGGCGACGACGGGUAGCCGGCCUGAGAGGGCGACCGGCCACACUGGGACUGAGACACGGCCCAGACUCCUACGGGAGGCAGCAGUGGGGAAUAUUGCACAAUGGGCGAAAGCCUGAUGCAGCGACGCCGCGUGAGGGAUGACGGCCUUCGGGUUGUAAACCUCUUUCAGCAGGGAAGAAGCGAAAGUGACGGUACCUGCAGAAGAAGCGCCGGCUAACUACGUGCCAGCAGCCGCGGUAAUACGUAGGGCGCAAGCGUUGUCCGGAAUUAUUGGGCGUAAAGAGCUCGUAGGCGGCUUGUCACGUCGGUUGUGAAAGCCCGGGGCUUAACCCCGGGUCUGCAGUCGAUACGGGCAGGCUAGAGUGUGGUAGGGGAGAUCGGAAUUCCUGGUGUAGCGGUGAAAUGCGCAGAUAUCAGGAGGAACACCGGUGGCG
rnacentral:rRNA from 1 species